GACGGAGGGUGCAAGCGUUGUUCGGAAUUACUGGGCGUAAAGGGCUCGUAGGCGGCCAACUAAGUCAGACGUGAAAUCCCCAGGCUCAACCUGGGAACUGCGUCUGAUACUGGAUGGCUUGAAUCCGGGAGAGGGAUGCAGAAUUCCAGGUGUAGCGGUGAAAUGCGUAGAUAUCUGGAGGAAUACCGGUGGCGAAGGCGGCAUCCUGGACCGGCAUUGACGCUGAGGAGCGAAAGCCAGGGGAGCAAACGGG
rnacentral:rRNA from 1 species